rnacentral:rRNA from 1 species
GACGAACGCUGGCGGCGUGCUUAACACAUGCAAGUCGAACGGAAAGGCCCUGCUUUUGUGGGGUGCUCGAGUGGCGAAGGGGUGAGUAACACGUGAGUAACCUGCCCUUGACUUUGGGAUAACUUCAGGAAACUGGGGCUAAUACCGGAUAGGAGCUCCUGCUGCAUGGUGGGGGUUGGAAAGUUUCGGCGGUUGGGGAUGGACUCGCGGCUUAUCAGCUUGUUGGUGGGGUAGUGGCUUACCAAGGCUUUGACGGGUAGCCGGCCCGAGAGGGUGACCGGCCACAUUGGGACUGCGAGACGGCCCAGACUCCUACGGGAGGCAGCAGUGGGGAAUAUUGCACAAUGGGCGGAAGCCUGAUGCAGCAACGCCGCGUGCGGGAUGACGGCCUUCGGGUUGUAAACCGCUUUCGCCUGUGACGAAGCGUGAGUGACGGUAAUGGGUAAAGAAGCACCGGCUAACUACGUG